GAUGAACGCUGGCGGUCUGCUUAACACAUGCAAGUCGAACGAACUCUUCGGAGUGAGUGGCGGACGGGUGAGUAACGCGUGAGAAUCUGCCUGUGGUCGGGACAACCACUGGAAACGUGGCUAAUACCGGAUGAGCCGAAAGGUAAAAGAUUUAUUGCCCACAGAUGAGCUCGCGUCUGAUUAGCUAGUUGGUAAGGUAAAAGCGUUACCAAGGCGACGAUCAGUAGCUGGUCUGGAGAGGAUGAGCAGCCACACUGGGACUGAGACACGGGCCCAGACUCCACGGGAGGCAGCAGUGGGAAUUUUCCGCAAUGGCGAAGCCUG
rnacentral:rRNA from 1 species